AGAGAGAGAGAGAGAGUCCGGCUGGUAUACUAGCGGUAGCACAGAAGCCUCCGUGCUACCAAGUUGUUUUCAAUGAUAUAGUUUUUAAAUUUACGAACGGCUCUAUUAGACUUGAUCUAUAAUAUUGAAAAUAUUUGGAAACCAAAUUUCAUAAUUUUUAGAUAUCAUUAACCUAUAAAAUGAGUUGUCUAAAAAUGAACGACAAAAAAAUAAAAAUCUCAUAAAAAUGAUGAUAAAAGAUUGAAUUUAAGAUCAUAGAUACUGAUCUUAUUCUAAAUAGUAAAAAAAAUUUCUAUAAAAAUUUCACCAGAUUUAGAUUGUUUUAUGCUGUUAAAUUCGAAAACGCAUUACAUCAACCAUUAAAAUUGUCAAUUUUGAGACUUUUUAAUUACUAGCCAAAUAAUAUCAAAAAAUUAUAAAAUUUAGUUUCCAAACACUUUUAAUAGUAUAGAUCAAAUCUAACGAAACCGAUUAUCAAUUUGGAAAUCACAUCAUUGAAAACAACUUGGUAGCACGGAGUGCUCCGUGUUACCGAUAGUACACCAGGCAAGCUCUCGUGUGUGUAAAACAACUUGAUAGCACGGAGUGCUCCGUGUUACCGAUAGUAUACAUGGCAAGCUCUCGUUAUAUAUAUAGUUCGGCUAUGGUGCUUGUAAAAAUACUAAGCACUUGGUGCUUGUGAAUUUUUUACCGUUAGAUUUACGCCUUUAAUCAUUUUCACCCGUUAGAUUAUACUAUUCAACCAACUAACCACUUAACCCUAGGGGGCCCACAUCAUCCUAACCGCACAUCCCUUAAUCCAAGGGCCGAAAACUUACAAGUGCCAAUGUCACGCCCCGGGGUCCCUUUCGGUUUAAGAGAUAGCGGAAAAGCGUCUGAAAUUUUUUUUUGAAAACCUGACCCCAGAGUAUGUCAGAUCCGCCACAAAUAUAGGAGAUCCACUAUUCACACGGACAGAGUCUCCCCUGUAUUUGCACGGCGUCGCACAAGUACAAGAAUACAACCAGGAUACAACCACAACUAGAUGAAUAUAAAGAUCACUAUACAUUCAUACAUUCACCAUUCACAUCACAGUUUUACAUUCAAUGUUUAAACAGAAAUCCAUAGAAAAACCUUUUGAAAACUGUUUCCUAUACGGAAACCUUUAUUCUUUAAAAACGCUACCACGAGGGGUAGAAAACCUUUUAUUACAUUCAUGAAAAUCCACAUAUUCAAAUGUAAUAAAAAUACUGAACCAUAUAAACUAUCUAAGCUAUAUAUCAACAGAAAUAAACAGGGUAAGAGCUAAACCGAACGACCUGGGUCGGAAGAUCUAUCGACCGCUACGUACGUGUCUCACGUCUCGUCUAAACCUCACCGCCUGCAAUACCUGAAAAAUAGUGGGGGAGGUGAGAUCAUGUAAACAUGUCUCCCCUCCCAGUGGGUACUGCAAGCCGAUGAAGGCGAGGAGUACUCACCGGAUCAGGAAGAACUAUACAACAACAUGGGUUAGUGGAAAUAAACAAGGUAAUGAGCAGAUAUACAAUAGCGAUAAACUGAAAGGAAGUAAGAACUAUACUGAAUAAACGGCUACCGCUACUGUAACUGGAACAGAAAGCAUACAUGAAUAUCUACUAUAGUAGCAAGACAACUAUAAAGUAAGAUCUGUAAGUAUGCAUGCAAUGACUGCUACUAUAGACAUAUGCGUCAACCGGUCAAGAAGUCCAAAAGUACCCAAUCUGAAACCAAUGCUCUCUUGGUCAGCACCGCAGACCUCAAGCCAGUGCCACUACUACUCUCCAGUGCAUAUAACCUCUCUAGGGCUCACGGGUUGUCACCAUUCAACCACUUUUCCGGAAAAGAACACUCCUUGCGGUGGAUCAGACCGCCAGUGUUCGUGAAAUGCGACGAGUAUCGGGCGAUCAAUGCAAUAUGCUCAAUAAUCAACCGUCGGCAACCAGCCGACAAUCCUGCCCCCCAGGGCCCAUCGACCGCAUAGGUCGUCAACUGUAAGGAAGCACAAGAACCGACCACUCANN
rnacentral:lncRNA from 1 species